GAGUAAAAUUAGUCACGUGUGAAAAGAUGAGAUGUGCUGCCACGUGAUAAGAUGAGAUGGUAUCUUUUCCCACUCCCCACCUCUCCUUCCUCUUCUUCUUCCGGCGAACUUCGCCCCUCUUUGUUUCAGAUUUGAACGUUGGGGCGAUUCAAACCAAAAUCCAAACAACAUUUCAUUUUCCUCUUUGUUUCUGAUUAACAUCAAUCGGUUUUUGAACCAAGGCAUAAGCUAAACCCAAACAUUCUUCACCAAUCGACUGUGUAUAUGAGUCCAUGAAGAAGAAGCUCAAAAUCCAGCCACCUCUCAUACUUAGGAGAAGCAAAACAAAGAGAUAAGAGACAUCCUACACCUACUUUGAUAAGAGCCAAAAAUGACUUGCCAUUGCAACCAAACGCGGGGACUAUCCUCAUCGCGAAGCCUGUGACAAUUGCCGUUGACAACAUGACAGCAAGCUGGAUUUGGUCGCAACAAAGACAGGGUUUUGGUGCAAUGACUUGCACCAAGAACCCGUUGCCUUCGCCUUCAAACACAAAGGUCACAGCAGUUGUCAGCUGCUGCAACCCAUUUGGGUAGAACCAUGCCAUGUCCUCCUCCAUCAAUGAUCUCUGCAAGUGAUGGGAUUGAUGGUCCAAGAUGGUUGAUUUGAAAUCGUUGUAGUCCCCUCGAGAAUAGGCUCGAUACCUCAGAACUCGAGAGACUAAAUCCCCUCCCUUUUGCUUCAUUUGGGGAGUUCAAAGUUCCACUUUCUGAUUGCAGAACCACAGAACAUUGAGAACCAGUUGAAUCAGAAAGGUUCACCUCAUCAAUUUUCUUUGGUUCCAUUGAAGAUUUCCCAUUUUUCAGAUUCUUUGUGUUCAGGAAACGACCACCAGAUCCCCGUGGACGGCGCAUUGCAUGAAGAUGACGUGAUUCGUGCAUAUAUGGCUGUAAGACAGAUAUGCAAUCUAUAUCAGCAGGAGUAAUGUGGAUAUAUAGUUUUCUGCACAGGACAAAGAAAAAUAUUUGGACCAGAGGAUGUUACUGUGGCAUAUAAAAGCAUAACAACAGUUUGUUCAGAUUACAGAAUUAACGUGAUGCUUACUGGUAUCAUAUUCAAGCCGAUUGCUGGUAUCAAAUAUUCACAUUACCCUCAGGUUAGUAAACAGGAAUUCAUAAAACCGAACGAGAGUUACUCUUUAGACAGAUAUCUGCUUCAGGUUGACUUCUUGUUCUAGUAAUACUGGUGAGGAAAUAUACGGAAAGACAAAUUGCUUUGUUACUAUUGCAUAUAAAGUAGUGUUCUGUACAGGACAGACAAAUAUUUGGACUGGAGGAUGUUACUAUGGAAUAGAAAAGGAUAACUGUUUGUUAAGUUUACAAAAUUAACAUGAUAAUGACUAGUGUAUCAUAUGCAAGUCGAUUGUUGAUAUUGAAAAUUCCAGGUUGGUAAACAGAACUUCCAAAUACACUGAACAAGAGUUACUGUUUAGACAGACAUCUGCAUCAGGUUGACUUCUUGUUCUGGUUAUACUGGUGAGGAAAUAUACCGAAAGGAACAAUUCACAUCCUUUGAUCCACCUACAUCUUCUACGAAAUCCGAGAUCCCAAAAAAAAUAAUCUACCUAUCAAGUACUAGGAGAGAGACCCAAGUAAGACUUAAUACCUUACGAGUUCGGGCAAGUUUAUUCUCCAUCAUUGCCUUAGCACGUAUCUGCCUGCGCCUAAUGAUUCCAUGAUACUGCUUUGCAUUCACAUAAAUAGGUCCAUCAUCCGAUGUUAAGCUCAUUGGCAGCAUAAUCCGGCCCUGAAUAUUGCAAAUAUUCAAGUUUCAACUCAUAGAUAGGCAGACUGACCUUUCCAGAUUGCUUACAGUGAAUAUCAAAAUCCAACCAACAAAAAUACUGUUCAAGAAAAGUACUCAUCCAGACUUCAUUACGUGAAAACUUAAGUUUUGUUCCUAUUAAUUUUUUGGUAAUAUUUAUUUCAUAGAUGCCUAAUUCUGUCAUCUCCUUAGCACCAAUUUUGGUUUUUUAGCUAUUUUGUAUUGUUUCCCACUUCUCAUUCUGUUUUUUUUGCCAUGCUUUAGUUCA